rnacentral:lncRNA from 1 species
UGCAUUGGAAAAUAUGAAGAAAAAUGUAUACAAUACAUUCUGUAUACGAAAAUAGACCAUCGGUGAUUGAGGAAGGACUGUAUCAUUGAUCAGCAGGAACGUGAUUGCUUUGGCACACUCGGUGAGUUCGAAUGAGCUUUUAGAAUUUAGGCAACUUGAUUUCUGUCACCAUGCAUCAUAAUCUUGUGUGUUUCGAGUUGUUAUGAAGUAAAGUAACACAUACCCUGGAUUCCAGAGCCUUCGACAGUAAAUAAUAAAUUGAAACGUCGCGAAGGCUCUGGUUGAACGGGGAGAUUCUUUGAUUAAACCGCGCCAAUCACUAAUUCUGUUUUGUGAUUGGCGCGGUUUAAUCAAAGAAUCUCCCCCAUUGAACCAGAGCCUUCGCGACGUUUCAAUUUAUUAUUUACUGUCGAAGGCUCUGGAAUCCAGGGUAAGUAACACAUGGGUUGGGUAAAAAUUAUUUUGACCAAUGUUGAGGUUGGGUAAAUAAAAAAUUUACACUGUUUUUCGCUUCUCUUUGGUACCAACCCCAGGUAUAAAUAAUAAACGGUCCCUAAGCCGUGGCUUAUUAAAGCCCGUUUUCCACUGGGCGCCUUUGUUCGCGCGAACCGACUUUUCUGCCUCCUCCGCAGGCCCUCGUUGCGUCAUGGGAAGGUCACGAUCUGGCGAGGGCCUGCGGAAUCUUGUAAAAAAAAUGGCGCCGGCGUCAAGUCAGCAAGUAAAUUUCUACAUAAUCUUGAAUAUAAACAGGAUAUAAAAAAGCGGCGUGAAGCUUGUAAAUUAAACUGGCGACGCUUAGGACGUGGAAGGAAGCAUUUUUUAACGAUAAGAUUUGUUGUCGACACCAACGUUGCACGAAUAAAACUGCCUUCUUUAACGAAGCAGGUUUAAAACAACAUUUAUUCAUUUUACAAGAUUCCGCAGGCCCUCUCGAAAUCGUGACCUUCCCAUGACACAACGAGGGCCUGCGGAGGAGGCAGGCGACUUUUUCCUUAAAAGGCCUGAUUCCACGACGGCGAAAUUCUUCGCGAGAUAUUGUGUCCGCGAAAUACGGAUGGUUGCGCAUGAGUAGCCUGCUCGCAGCCCGAAAUUCCGUUCAAAGGAGAACCGGAAAUUCAAAUUUUCGGGUGGGCGCUACAAGCAGGCUACACAUGAGCGAUUCCAGUGAGUAGAACUGACUUGUACUCACUGAUGAAGCGAAAUCCUAACUUAUCUUAGACUUGCUCCAAGUCUCUCUUUCAUUGUCAUAUAGUAUCGAUCCACUAUAGUGCACAUUACAUGACGUAGCACGGAGGGGCGGAGCGAGAAAGAGAGACUUAUCAAUCUCGG